GAUAGAAUUAGGAGUGAAAUCCUA
rnacentral:siRNA from 1 species